rnacentral:rRNA from 1 species
UGGGGAAUAUUGCACAAUGGGCGCAAGCCUGAUGCAGCCAUGCCGCGUGUAUGAAGAAGGCCUUCGGGUUGUAAAGUACUUUCAGCGAGGAGGAAGGCGUUGUGGUUAAUAACCGCAACGAUUGACGUUACUCGCAGAAGAAGCACCGGCUAACUCCGUGCCAGCAGCCGCGGGAAUACGGAGGGUGCAAGCGUUAAUCGGAAUUACUGGGCGUAAAGCGCACGCAGGCGGUAUGUCAAGUCGGAUGUGAAAUCCCCGGGCUCAACCUGGGAACUGCAUCCGAAACUGGCAGGCUAGAGUCUUGUAGAGGGGGGUAGAAUUCCAGGUGGAGCGGUGAAAUGCGUAGAGAUCUGGAGGAAUACCGGUGGCGAAGGCGGCCCCCUGGACAAAGACUGACGCUCAGGUGCGAAAGCGUGGGGAGCAAACA